rnacentral:rRNA from 1 species
UAGGGAAUCUUCCGCAAUGGACGCAAGUCUGACGGAGCAACGCCGCGUGAGUGAAGAAGGAUUUCGGUUCGUAAAACUCUGUUGUUAGAGAAGAACAGCGCAUAGAGUAACUGUUAUGCGUGUGACGGUAUCUAACCAGAAAGCCACGGCUAACUACGUGCCAGCAGCCGCGGUAAUACGUAGGUGGCAAGCGUUGUCCGGAUUUAUUGGGCGUAAAGCGAGCGCAGGCGGUCAAUUAAGUCUGAUGUGAAAGCCCCCGGCUCAACCGGGGAGGGGCAUUGGAAACUGGUUGGCUUGAGUGCAGAAGAGGAGAGUGGAAUUCCAUGUGUAGCGGUGAAAUGCGUAGGUAUAUGGGGGAACACCAGUGGCGAAGGCGACUCUCUGGUCUGUAACUGACGCUGAGGCUCGAAAGCGUGGGUAGCAAACAGG